CAGAAACCCUUUGUGAACUUAUACCUUACUGUUGCCUCGGCGCUAGCUGGUCCUUCGGGGCCCCUCACCCCCGGGUGUUGAGACAGCCCGCCGGCGGCCAACCCAACUCUUGUUUUUACACUGAAACUCUGAGAAUAAAACAUAAAUGAAUCAAAACUUUCAACAACGGAUCUCUUGGUUCUGGCAUCGAUGAAGAACGCAGCGAAAUGCGAUAAGUAAUGUGAAUUGCAGAAUUCAGUGAAUCAUCGAAUCUUUGAACGCACAUUGCGCCCUCUGGUAUUCCGGAGGGCAUGCCUGUUCGAGCGUCAUUUCAACCCUCAAGCCUGGCUUGGUGAUGGGGCACUGCUUCUUACCCAAGGAGCAGGCCCUGAAAUUCAGUGGCGAGCUCGCCAGGACCCCGAGCGCAGUAGUUAAACCCUCGCUCUGGAAGGCCCUGGCGGUGCCCUGCCGUUAAACCCCCAACUUCUGAAAAUU
rnacentral:rRNA from 1 species